UCCUGGGCAUGUGUCUAUCCUUUCUGCACUCCCUCCAUACCCCUAGUCAGGUCACGUUCCAGCCACAUUGGAUGCAGUGGUUACCAAACUUUGUGUCCCAGGUUCCCAUCUGUAAAUUGGGAAUUAUGAUAGUAUUAUGUUAUAGAGCCACUGGCAAGACCUAAUGAGUUAUGCAUGCAAAAUGCUUAGAAUAGGGCUUGGCAUGUAGGAAGGGUUCAAUAACUGUUCCUGUUGCUGAAUGUUGGUUAUGAGGCUAGCAGCUUGCCUGAAUGGGCUAAGGAAGGCUCAGAGUUAGGCCUAAUCCUCUCUUACUCCUCUGUUCCCUCUGCAGAACCGAAGGCCCAACUGACUAAGACACCACAUUCUUCCCUUAAGAGUGGGACAUCCUGUGCCAACCACCGUGAUGGGCGACUUUAUCACCAAGGUGGGUGCUAGCAGAUACUCUUACUUCAUCCUUUACUCAUUUGCCAUCCCCAGGAACAUUUCACAGGAAUCGUGAGCACACGUCCUAGCUAUGGGAUCCCUAAGCCAAUCAAAGCACGGAAUAAAAAUACCAGGUUCAUGUCCACUAGACAAUGAAUGGAGAAGUAGAAAGCAGCACUGCCACACAGUGGGAUAAUCUUCACCUACAGAGGGAAUGGAAAGUAGGGGCUCGGGAGACGGUUCCGCAAGUAAAAUGCUUCUAGAACAAUCCCGGUAACCUCAGGAGAGAGCUGGCUCUCCAGGCUGCCCUCUGACCUCCGUACGCACUCCACGGUACACGCGCAGCCCCUUCUACCACGCACAAUGAUAAUCUUUAAAAAGGAGAAUGAAAUAUUGAUACACGUGGAACACAGAUAACUACAGCAAACAUUACUCUAAACAGAAGGAAGCCCUAAAUACCACUUAUCAUUCGAUUGUAUUUGUAUGGGAUGUCCAGAGCAGGUAAAUCUGUAAAGACGGAAGCAGAUUAGUGGUUGCCCGGAGUGGGUGGGAGGACAGAAGGGGGGGGGAUGGCUAUAGAGGCGGGAUUCUUUUGGAGAUGACAAAGAAAAUGCUCUAAUAUUGAUGGCUGCACACAUCUGCAGAUACAAUACGAAUGGUUUCAUUGCGCCCCCCUCCCCUACCUUUUGAGACAGGGUCUUACUUUGUAGCACAGGCUGGUAUCAAACUUACAACUAUCCUCCUGCCUCAGCUUCCCAAGUGCUGGGAUUAUAGGCAUGAGCCAACAUGCCAGUUCUAAUUGCCUGUAAUAUUCACUUAUUUAUUUAUUGGUUUUUCGAGACAGAGUUUCUCUCUGUAACAGCUCUGGCUGUCCUGGGACUCACUCUGUAGACCAGGCUGGCCUCAGACUCACAGAGAUCACCUGUUUCUGCCUCAAAAGUGCUGGGAUUAAAGGUGUGCACCACUACACCCAGUGCCCUUUGAUUUUUAACAUUUACUUAUUUACUAAGUGUGUGUGUGUGUGUGUGUGUGUGUGUGUGUGUGUGUGCACUCAGAUGCCACAGUGUGCAUGUUGGAGAUUAGAGUCAUUUCUUUCUUCCCAUUAAGUGGGUCCCAGGGGUUGAACUCCCGUUGUCGGGCCUGGAGACCCCUUCCCGUCAGCCAUCUUGCCAGCACUAACUGUUUACUUUAAAUCCAUGAAGUUUACAGCGUAUUAAUUAGCUCUCAGUCAAGUUAUUACUUUAAAAGAUAGCAAAUCCUUCACACCCAGCCUAAGGGGCCUAUUGACUGGAGAUAGAGAUGGUGAUGGAGAGAAAACUGACUUUGUUUCCAUAGUCCUGACCUCUUCCCUGCGUUGUACAUGCUCCAUGUAUACGAUCUUCCUGUUCCCAGCCUGCCUUGUACCGCUGACACAUCUGAGGACUUUCUUCCAGUCACCUGCUGGGGGAAGGAGCCGAUGAGAUGAUUAUAAAAUAGGAAUCCAACCCUAGGGGUCUUCAAGGACAGAAUCGGCUUGCUGCAAGGAUCAGCAGAGGGCUUUUGUGCUCAGCCCCUCAGGGACCGAGGAGUGGGGCAGCAGCUGUGUGCCCAACCACGGUGACGUAUGGGGAUUACAGGGUAAAAUUCACGGUAUUGGAGCGCGAAGGACUUCCGGUCUACCUGAAGGCCUGGUUGGUGAUAACAAGUUUCAUGAUGAGAAGAGGCCGCUCUGUGCUGGGUGGACUCACUGCCCCAUUCAAGAGCAGGGGGAGGAGGCAUCAGGGACAACCUCACAGAGGAAGUGAUGAGCACGUCCCAGCUGUCACAGCCAGCGCUUAUGAUGAGUUUCCUGGGUGACAGGCUCAGACCUCUAGUGCCCACUCAGUACUUGGGAAGCGCCGAGUGAAAGCUGUCACAUAAACAUGGGGUAACUCUGGCCAAAGUCACAUGAGCUCCUGAAGCCUCAGCCUCUGCAUCUAUGACAUCAGAAUGAUCCCUGGCUUGCCUUGUACACUAGAUGGCCACAAGACUUUGAGGACACAGAGAAUGGGGGAGCACAUUGGAGGAAGAGCACAGCUGGACAGGAUGAGGGCAGCCUGCCCCUCUGGAAGCAAGUAUUGAAGUAUAACAAACAGGCCAGGCAUCAUGAGAGACCCCACCAAAUGUGUCCACACCCUAGUCCCUGGAAGCUGUCACUGCGUAAGGUCACGUGGUAACCGGCAGAUGAAGCAGCUGGUGGAAAUAAAGUUGCCUAUCAGCCGAUCUUAAA